GAUGAACGCUGGCGGCGUGCUUAACACAUGCAAGUCGAACGGAAAGGCCCAAGCUUGCUUGGGUGCUCGAGUGGCGAACGGGUGAGUAACACGUGGGUGAUCUGCCCUGCCCUUUGGGAGAAGCCUGGGAAACUGGGUCUAAUACCGGAUAGGACCAUCGUUUAGUGUCGGUGGGGGAAAGUUUUUCGGUGUGGGUUGAGUUCGCGGCCUUUCGGCUUGUUGGCGGGGUAAUGGCCUACCAAGGCGUCGACGGGUCGCCGGCGUGGGUGGGUGUACGGCUGAGUUGGGACUGAGACACGGCCCAGACUCCUACGGGGGGAAGAAGGAGGGAAGGGUGCACGAUUGGCGCAGGCCUGAUGCGGCGGCGCCGCGUGGGGGAGGGCGGUCUUCGUGUUGUAAACGCCGUCCGCCAGGGACGAAGCGUUUUGUGACGGUACUUGGAGAAGAAGCACCGGCUAACUACGUG
rnacentral:rRNA from 1 species